AACAGGUUAAUAUUCCUGUACUUGGUGUUACUGCGAAGGGGGGACGGAGAAGGCUAUGUUAGCCGGGCGACGGUUGUCCCGGUUUAAGCAUGUAGGCUGAUUGUCCAGGCAAAUCCGGAUAAUCAAGGCUGAGGUGUGAUGACGAGGCACUACGGUGCUGAAGUAACAAAUGCCCUGCUUCCAGGAAAAGCCUCUAAGCAUCAGGUAACAUCAAAUCGUACCCCAAACCGACACAGGUGGUCAGGUAGAGAAUACCAAGGCGCUUGAGAGAACUCGGGUGAAGGAACUAGGCAAAAUGGUGCCGUAACUUC
rnacentral:rRNA from 1 species